GAACGCUGGCGGCGUGCUUAACACAUGCAAGUCGAACGGAAAGGCCCUGCUUUUGUGGGGUGCUCGAGUGGCGAACGGGUGAGUAACACGUGAGUAACCUGACCUUGACUUUGGGAUAACUUCAGGAAACUGGGGCUAAUACCGGAUAGGAGCUCCUGCUGCAUGGUGGGGGUUGGAAAGUUUCGGCGGUUGGGGAUGGACUCGCGGCUUAUCAGCUUGUUGGUGGGGUAGUGGCUUACCAAGGCUUUGACGGGUAGCCGGCCUGAGAGGGUGACCGGCCACAUUGGGACUGAGAUACGGCCCAGACUCCUACGGGAGGCAGCAGUGGGGAAUAUUGCACAAUGGGCGGAAGCCUGAUGCAGCAACGCCGCGUGCGGGAUGACGGCCUUCGGGUUGUAAACCGCUUUCGCCUGUGACGAAGCGUGAGUGACGGUAAUGGGUAAAGAAGCACCGGCUAACUACGUG
rnacentral:rRNA from 1 species